rnacentral:rRNA from 1 species
AUAUUACACAAUGGGCGCAAGCCUGAUGCAGCAACGCCGCGUGAGGGAUGACGGCCUUCGGGUUGUAAACCUCUUUUGGCAGGGAAGAAGCCUUCGGGUGACGGUACCUGCAGAAAAAGCACCGGCUAACUACGUGCCAGCAGCCGCGGUAAUACGUAGGGUGCAAGCGUUAUCCGGAAUUAUUGGGCGUAAAGAGCUCGUAGGCGGUUUGUCGCGUCUGCUGUGAAAUCCCGAGGCUCAACCUCGGGCCUGCAGUGGGUACGGGCAGACUAGAGUGCGGUAGGGGAGAUUGGAAUUCCUGGUGUAGCGGUGGAAUGCGCAGAUAUCAGGAGGAACACCGAUGGCGAAGGCAGAUCUCUGGGCCGUAACUGACGCUGAGGAGCGAAAGGGUGGGGAGCAAACAGG